GCCUAAGUUGUGCUGCAUGGCAGAUAAAUAAUCUUAGCUAAAAGUAUGUAAUAAAUGUAUAUUAAAACAUUUCAAGACAGACUGAGAAGACAAUUUUCUAAGAAGGCUGCAGAAAGCACCAGGCCAUCUUUAUCUUUUUAUGCUUUAAAAAAAAUCACAACUUAAAUUAAAUCCCUAUGACAAUCUGCAAGUGAUUAGUGUCUAAGCUACAAUUUCACUUCAGAUCUCCUUUCUUUUGCAGCAUGCAGGCUUCAAGUGUAAUGGUGAAAUGAUAAAUGGUGAUAAUGAGCAUACGAUAUGUCACUGAAUAAUGUUUUAUAACAUGUAUUUGACACCAUAAAUAUUGAACCAUUUAGUCACUGUGUUGUUGUACAAGAAUGGCCGUUUCAGAGAAGCAGCGUUUCAUAUUUGCCAGCCAAAUGGGCUUUUGUUUAUGAUGCUCACAAGUUAACACCUUCCUCAAAAUCUGAAAAAUGGGACCUUUUCGUGGAGCCUAAUCCAUUACAAAAAGCCAUCAAGUAGAGUUUAGGGUCCCAUGUGUAAAGUCACUAACCAAUCUUUUCAACAGAUCCCUCCGAAACAUUGGAAGCCGGACCGAGCAUUAAACAUGCAGAGAGUGCUUGCUGUCUACAGCUUGUCAAUGUGCUUUCACUUAUAUCCACCACCACCACCUACUCGUUCUUUCUCUCGUCUUUCUCUCCUCUCUCUCUAUCUCUUUUCACCCUGCCCCCCCGGGAAGAGUUUGAAGUGGGGUUUCUUGGGCUUUGUUUUCUAAACGCGCUGGUUUUGUUGUGUCUAAUGUCUGUGCUUUGGCAGGGCCUGGAUGCUGAGCUGAAACCUAAUCUAACGCUGCACUCGCCACACCACAAGAGGUGGUUUUUGGGAUCCUCUUAGUGGCUGCUGGGUGCUUUAUUCUGGACUGUACAGGCUCCCCACUGAGGGCUAUGGCUUCCCAUCAUGGGAACAUGGUUUGUUGCCUUCCACAGCCCCCCUUUGGUCUAACUGUUAUAACUGUUAACUUAUGUUGUACUUUUUGUUUAGUUAGAUAGAAUACCAAUAUUUUUAUUUGUUAUAGUAGGGACAAAAAAGGAUGGUUAGAAAUUCAAUUUAAAUUUAAUGUGUACAAUUGUAACGAAAAAGAAAUGUCUUGAAGUGAUACUGCACUGAGAAGUAUCAAACACACACUCCCUACAGGCUUUAAAGGCCCUGAAAACCUUACUGUGAGUGAUGUGGUCGUACAGAACGACACAAGUGUUUCUGACAAAGUUAGACAAUUUGUCAGUCCUAUUCUUACUGUCUUGAAGUGAGACAGACCUCAGGUGGAAAAAAAAGUGAUGUUAUGUAUUUCUGGGGACCAGUCAGGGUUUUUGAAUUCGAAUUGUUUGUGUUUUUGAAUGUUGAGCUCUUAAUUAAAAUAGCAUUGUUUAAAAGAUUUAUGUUUAUUUCCGGACUUUGACUUUGGAUUUUUUUUUUGUCAUGAAUAUUUACCAAAUGCUAAAGAUUUGAUUUGAAGUAUUCAGGGCUUGUACUGUAACAUUGUUGUACUUUAAACAUUUAGUGCAUUUCCAUCCAUCUGACAGAAAUUUAAAAUGUAAUAAAUCCGGAAAAACAGGUUUAAGCUGUCUUUAUCAAUACAAUGUCUAUUGAUAAAAAAAAAUACGCAGGAAUGUGCAGUCAAUUAAUCAUGACGUACAUAAAGCAUCAUCAGAUCAGAGGGGACCAAUGAGGAGACUGCAACCUUCCUCAAAUGAAUACAUGAAACAAACACAAACGCCAUGUUUUCCACACUGUUUUUGUCCAUUUGAGGGUUUACUGGUGCUCUUUUAAUUACAAGAUGUUUGUGGUCUUCUUCUGCAAUGGUUUAAUGGCUGACUGAAUUACUGCCAGUGACAAUUUAUCUUAAUUCACACUCAUCUCCUAAGAUUUGUAUAUCAACUAGCAUUUUCUUUUGGCGAUUUUCUGGAAAUUCUGUUUCAAAUUUGUGUUAAAAUGGAAACUUGAUUAUUGAGGUUUUUAUAAUCACAAGGUUGCGGGACAUUUCAUCCAUUCAUUAAAGGUCAAUGUCAAUUUGUGGGUAUAUUUUGAAAUAAUUAUUUUGUCAAAAUACAAACAAAGACUGAAGGAAAGACGAUGUAUUCAGCAAUAGUUUCGUGUAACUAUGGCUAUUUUGAACGUACUGAGCAUCCUGAUGGAGAGGCGAGCAAUGACUAUGCUGUACUUCAGGAGUGGAUUGAGACAUUUCUGUAGAUGUUUGUUCACUGUGAUCACUGACUGACCAAAUGACAAACUUACUGCUAUCUUUUCAAGUCUGCAGAGGGUGAGGGUUGAAAUUCAAAAGAUAGAUUUUGGGAUGAAGUAUCACUUUUACACUGAUUGAAACUGACAAACAGCGCUGCGGUAUGAGUUGCUGCUACUGUAGCAUUCUCUGUCUACCUGUUAGGCCUCAACACACACACACACACACACAUGCACAGAGUACCGUGGGUCCCCUGGCCUGGCUGGGCUGUGGGUAGCUUGUAACCCAAGUGUUUUAUUAGCAACUGGUCCAACACAGCUAAUUGCUUCCUGAGGGAGCCGCCUCCCUUCAGUCUGUGACUGAUUAACGGCCCACAUUAUGUGUCUCGACAACUUUGACAAUCUUUAGGGUAUUUUUUUUUUCCUUUUUGGUCACAAAACUUUUUAUUACAUUGCACUGCCACAAAUCUCCAGUCUAAAUCUCCCUUAAAACCAGUUUUUCAUUGUGAAGCAGUUAAAACAUUCUGAACUUCUUUUUAGGUAAUAUAGUGUUUAUUAAUAUGAUUUAAUGAUUUUUCUAAAUAAUGUGUUUUUAAUACUCACUUACUGGUAUGGUUUGCUACAUUACUGUCUUAGUCAUCUGUUUUAGUUUUGCAGCAUUUAUAACAAUACUGGAUAUUUUGAGGAAAAAAACUUUUUUCAGUAGAGACGAUGAAUCUCUCUCAUACACUUUGUCAGUUUGUUUUCUGUCUUUUGUCAUUAAUACUGUUUCCUUUUGACAUGUGAAUCAAUUUUCAACUACUUAUGAUGUAUUACUGCAUCACACUGCAUCAAAUCCAUAGAAAAAGUAUCACAUGAAAAUGCCAAUAUUGAAUGAGAACAACAAUGAGAUCAGAAUGUAUUAUUCUUCAUCAUGUCAUUGCUCUGUUUGGGGAGUUUUCAUAUGGCUAUAAAUAUUAGUGCACCAUGUAUGUUUCUUGUUUAACAAACAAAUCUGGGUUACUCAGAUUCAAUAGAAGUUGUUUUCUGCUAGUAAUCAGAUUUGUCGCUUCUUUCUCUUACAGGCUUUUUAUCUUGCCUUUCUGAAUUUAAUUAUUUUCUAACUUUAAAACCGCUUGUUCAAACCUGUUAGUUUCAGCCGAUUUCAUGUUGUCUUCUCCUUGUGGGUUGUCACAUACAGGCAACACACAUGAUGUAAGCAUAUAAUAACGGACUAAUAGCAGGCAUCAUCUGGUUUUUGACCUGUUAACUCCCAAAAGCAAAAAACUGAAUAUAUGAUCAGUGGACGUCUGAGUGGGCGGACAUCAGCUUUGUGGCUGCUGAGAAUUUCCCUUCAUUUAUUUACUUUCUUUUUUUGGUGCAGAUAUUUAUGUAAAAUGCAGCUUUUCAUCCUCUCAAAAACUUUGUUCUUGUUGAUCUUAAUUACAAAUGCUGAAUCUCUGAUUAUGAAAACCUGGUCACUGGUUUCCGGGCUCCUCUUCUUCGUUGCAUGCGCUUGUCUCAUACGUGUCUUUGAUGAUGCCAUUGGGAGCUAUGAGCAGAUGGGUUUCAAAAGGCUGCUUUCCCAAACAGGAUAUAGAUGAUGUGUAGGCCUGGUGCUCUCUGGUGCAGGGAUCAAAUGGUGUUCUUCCACCCCCCACUGCUCCCUCCACCUCUGCAGGGUGGGGUCCGGACGGACGGACGGCCUCAAGUGUGUUUCAAGGUCACAUUGUCACACGUGUUGCAUCCUCAUCACUUCCUGUAAAUCAUCUGGAUAUCGUUAUAUCUCCAGUUCAUUUAUAGAUGCCUGAUAAUUAAGUAGAAUCCACGUUUUCUCCAUCUUGAUGUUUUAAGGCACUUGUACUUAUAUCAAUCUUUCUUUCUUUCAGUCAUUCUGCACCUCAUUUUGACCCCUGUAUACAGCACUCUUUAAUUACUGUCACAGUUGCAUAUAUAAUGGUGGAUCGGGGCCCUGAAACCUUGUUCAGGCAAACUGUGGUAAAACAAAAUGCAUACUUCUGGUUUGGGCUGGGAAGAACCCCUCCUGUGCCAUUUCUCAGAAGUCCAGAGCCAAAAUCAGUACAAAAAUACAUUAUUGACAUGGAUAUGUUUUGUACCGCUUUUUAACAUUUUUCUUCCACAAACAUGUCAGAAUUGGGGACAUCUGUCUCAGUGCGUACUCAUCUGACGGAUCUGUCCUUCGCAGUGCACUCGCACGUGUUUCAGCGUAUGUGCAGCUGUUAUUGAAUGGAACACAAUCACACUAGAAAUUGGCAUUGACAGCAGGCGACAACUCGGACAGAUUCUUUUGCGUAACGUGGUCGCAGGCCAAGUGGGCAAAGCAGCUGGAACAUGGUUGAUGGGAGGACUGCGGGGCCAGAGGGAGGAGGAGUCAUUUUCGCAUUAGCGGAAUCACAUUUUGAGAAAGAUGCAGCAUUCCAGGACCUCUUUAUUUGAUUAGCUGUAAUGUCAUAAAUGCAAGAAUGUACAAGAAUGUAAAUGGCAAAAGUAGCUGAUGAAUUAGUUAUUCCCAUCAGCAAAUACCCAAGCUAGCUUGCCCUCCCCAUCCUCGUCCCACGGGCCACAUUGCCUCCUCAAUCUGCAAUAUGGAGCAUAAUUAUACUAAUUUCUCUCAAUUGCAUUACAGAGGGCCUGGAGAAAAGAAAGACUGUCUUUCUAAGCAGGAGCCUUGACUAUGCAGUCAGCCUCCCUGUACCUCAGAGAGCAAGUAAAGGGGGAGGCAACAUGACCCCGGCUCACCCCCCUCUUCAUUUGACUGUAGUCCUCUCUCCUUCAUUCCCACCAGCUCUUGUCCCUCUUUUCUCAUUCCAUAUUUUCCUCCCACACCGAUUGCUUCAUGUGAUUGCAAAGUGAAACUUACAGAAAACCGGUGCUUGUAGAAUUUUAAAAUGUAGUUUUUAAAACCCAUUUUGGUUUGUCUUUUUAUGUCUUUGAGGGAGAAACAUGACUAUUCAUGUUCUGGCUUCUGUUUAUAUGCCAUGGGGGACCUAAUAUCCGUUAGGUCCAUAUCUAAUAUCUAUUUCAUCCCAUGCUGAAACAGUCCCGUACAUUAUUUUAUAACUGCAGCAUUUCAAGAUAUAAGUUUGCUCUUAGAAUACAGUACAUGCAUCCCUUUAACCUGUAAUCCAAACCAAAUGAAAUGAAAGAAGCAUAGUGGUUUCAAGUUUGGAUACAUUUUAAAGAUUUUCUGAUACUUGUGCCAAGGCACACAGAGUUUUUCCAUGUUGUUAUUAAUGUGGACUAUUCUUUGGUUGUUGUUUUUCCUGCCUGACAAUAUUUUACAAAAUAAACAUUUCUAUAUAAUAUAUACUGUGUGUAUGUAUGUAUGUAUACACAGUGCAGUAUCUGCGUAUAUGACCCAAUAGAAUGACUCUUUCUGUGUUUCCUUUCCAAGUAGAACCAGUCCUCCAUGACCUGGUCAAAUCAGACUGGCCUGGUGGUUGAGGGACUCUGGGGGACUGCAGUGUGCUGGUAGUGGGAACACGGCCUCACUUAUGAAAGACGCCAUUGUCUCCGCUGGCUCGCCAACAUAGAAAAUGAAUAAAUCAAAGAGGAGAGAUCAAGAGUGGUGGAGAGGAGGGGAUGGAGGGAAAGGGGGGUGGGGGUAUCUGACAUCUGCAUUUUUAAACUGGGCAAUGAGCUCUGGAGGAAUGUUGUUAUCAUCCACCCUCAACUGAUACAAUGGUAAUGUAUUUUGCACUGAAUUAUAAUCUGACUGAAGCAUGAUCUGACCUCAGAUCAGGUCUAUACCUCCCCUAUGCUCCUGCCAUCAUCCCUCACGUAUAAGCUGAUUUAUCACCAAGUUGUAUCAUAGCAAUUAUUGUUUUCUUCUCACGAAAUAUGAUAAAAAAUAAAUGUAUACAAAGUUUGUAACUGUUGAGACGCACCAUGUAAUGAUCAAUCACGUGUGUAGCCCUGGACUGUUGAGCCAGCCAUUUUUGCUUCCAUAACAGGCCGUCACAGUGAUGAACACGUGUCUCUAUUUCUGUUGAUUUGAUUCUGGGAUUUGCUUUCAAAUCUUUUCCUCCAACAGCACUUGUCAUUGAUGUUUUAUAAUUUGGUUUAGGUGGGAUAUACAGUAAAUCUGGUUUACAUAUUAGUGCUCCAACCAAAAAUAGAUAGUCGUUUCAUUGGAUAAAACAGUCAUGGAUUCAUUCUUUGAAAAUCCAGUCAAAUGAUCAAAGGAUAAACAUGGCAGCAAUGGACUGUUUCCCCUUCUCUUGAAAAGAGAAAACGCAACAGGAAAUAUGCUUGUGAAGAAAAUGUAAUGCCAGCCAGAUUAUGUUUUUCAUUAACAUGACAAGGAAAUGUUGUUAAUUAACAUAUCUGGCAAGUUUCAAAAAUAUUGAUACUUAAUGUAUCAGUAAAGUGAUCGCAUAUCAGGGAGUAAGAAAUGAAAACUUAAAAAUCUUACCUCACUGCUGUAAUCUCUUACUUACCCAAGGGUGCUUCGACCACAAUAUUCGAUCUUCAAAUACAAUAUCUGCAACUAUGACUGUAGCAUCAGAAAAAGACUGCAAUGACUAGAAGACACAAUGUAUUUAUUAACACGAUUUUUCCCUCACCUUAACUAAAUUGCUUUCGUUGCCUUAAGCUAACCACAGACGGGACUCAGAUUGCAACGCCUGGCCUCUGGUGUCAAAGUCCUGCACUUUGUACGCCUGCCAUCCACCCAGACCACCUCUCUGCAACUGCUGAUUUGCUGCACAUUUUUUUAAAACGUAAUUUUGAACCUUUGGGCUUGAGUCAUUGUUUGAAGACCAAGUCAUGGACUAUACACGUGAAAAUGUUAAGUCACACAAGUAGUAAUUUUUGUGUGGUUUGCUUUGGAAGAUGCAGCGAUGCCUCCUUGUUUCAUUUUAUGUUCGCAUUAUCGUCCUUCAUUAACUGUGAGGAGACAAUUAUCUAUCACAUUCGGAAUCUGGUGAGGGGGUACGUGGGGUGGCCAGUCAGUCAAUCAGUCAGUCUCUGCCUGAUCUCUGCUCUCUUACAGCCAGUGCAGAGUAUACUGGAGGAUCCCAGCAACAGCAAGACAAGCAGCUGGCUCCCUGACUCAGUUCAGCACAGUGGCACUUUGCUGCUGCCUCCCAUCCCAGCUCUAUGGGUCCAGUAGGUCAGGUCACAGGACAUGACAGUUGGCCAGUGGAGAAGAGCCUCUAGGCUAGUACUCGGGACUCCCAGCUGGUGAAGGGACGAUAAUGCCGCCUCACCCCUCAGGCCUGGACUCCCUCCUGCUCCUGCCCCAUCCCCCCUCUCUCCCUGCAUCCAUUCCCCACCUGGCUGUCAUUGAGGUUAACAUCAGGGAACGCAGACGGAGACAAUCAGACAGGUGGCUCUUCCUGCGACCCGGAUGUACUUAUCCCUUGAUCCCUGGCGACCUUGACAGGAAGUGAAUCACUGGCCAAGUGACCUCCACUGGUGGCCCUUCCUGUCCCCACGUUGCCUCACAGGAAGGAAGGAUGCGGUCUGUUGUCCUCAGGCGCCGCUCACUCACUCUCCCCUCCUCUGCUGACUAGAGAAACCAGAUUAUUGAUUCCAGGCUCAUCUCUCCUCAUGCUCCCUUUUUAAAAUCCUUCUUUUUGUCUCUUCCAUUUCCCAUCUUCCUCUCUCUUGUCUCAGCACCCACUUUAUCCUAUUUUGACAUAAGUCCUUUCUUCUUUCAUCGUUUUUUCUGUGCCCUUGUGAGAUGUAAGUAAACACUGCGGACAUUGGCAAACCGCAAUGUCCCCGAUCUCAGUCGAUUACACUCCAGGGGCUAACUAGCCCCUUGAUUUAUAGUCUUCGUUUUAUUCAUUUCUGACACUGACUUGUUUGUGUAGUUGCUUUUUUAUUGGCCAUUUGUUUACAUUAAAUAUGGCAACCAUUUCAUGUGGCAGAGAGAUCCCAAUGUCAGGCUUCUGGGUUUAGUCUUCUCUCCAAUGAUGUACAUGCGCAUUGCGAAUUACAGGACACCAUUUGGUGGUAGUUAGGAAGAGAAGGGGACUUCCAGGCAGACCGAGAAAGAGAACCUCGCUAGCAACAUCAAACGCUGUUUUUGUUGUUCUUCUGGCUGUAGUUCUCAAACCAAAGAGAGGUCAGAAGGUCAUGAAGAACCUGUGCUAACUGCUCUGCCAUUGGUUGUUAAUUGUAGCUAUUAACAAAAGAAUUGUGCAAGAGGAGAAAAGCUCAACCUCCCAUGAGGUUUCAGUACUUAUCCAUGUUUUCUGUAACAUGGUAACAUGAGCACACAACAUCAUGAACAUGGUCACACUUUCCAUUGGAUUUGAUGAUGGAGGCAGAGCAGGUGGUUUAUUGCACUCAGUCAAUGCUGCAGCUACAUAUGAUCACAUUAUUGUCCAGAUUUUGGUCUUUUUCUCUGUAUAUGUAAGAGUCACUCAGCUGCAGGUGCUAGACAGCACUGCCAGUUUACACAAUGCAGCUUUAAGCAUCCUAACUAUAGUUGUAAAAUAUAAGAAUAUCAAAUCACAUAGAAUUGUACAACUAUUUUUUUAUCAGUCAACUUUCAGAUUCUUGUUCCUGACAUGCUAAUGAGUUCAUAUAAAAGGAAAAUACAAAUCUGUAAAGUUUAUGUGUAUGUUAAUGUUUUUCAUCGAAAGUAUGUAUCAAGGAAUGAAAAUGUAUAACUAACUAACAGUUGUUACACUAAGCACUGAGCACCAUUUUUACAUUUUUAUAUCAGGUUUUCUAAUGUGAUACUUUGAGCCAACUUGGCCAGUCUUAAAGAGGACUGACAUUGGAAGAGAAUUCAUAUUCGCUUAGUUUCAAUAAAAUACAAUCUAUAUAACAAUUAAACAUAACCAUCAAACUAGCCUCAAAUGCAGCAGUUCUGUGAAAGCUAGUUGUCCUGGAAAAUCCUCAAAUCUAACAUCAAAUUUGGAAAUAAUUAUAAAGAACUUGUGAUCUCUAAAACAGCAGAACACUCAUUUUUGCAGUUUCCCUUGUGUCUUUAACAGAGAAAUCAAAUGUUUCCUGCUGAUAUGAGUGAAUCCUCUUCUUUGUUUUCUAAAAAGCAAAAUAACACGUUCUGAAAGACUUGGGACACGUAAGAGGACAGCAGGGAGAGAGCGUGAAGUGAGAUGUUGUGAUCCCACAGGUGUUUUUCUCCCCUCAUGAUGUGAGUCUGCAACUGCAUUGCCACCUAGUGGGAGAGGAGGUUUACUGUCAGGCUGCUGUGGUUCAAAUUAAUGUAUAUUUAGUAAAGAGAGUUUGUUCUAUUUCAACUUGGGCAGCAUAAGUGGUGAUAAAUGUAUAACUGAGUCCAGAACAACUGUGGGGUCUCUGUCAUCAUCAUCAUCAUCUCUUUGAAUCAUUGGCUAUUCCAGGUCAGACUGUUGGUCUGCGACUGUAAAGUUUUCCAGCUGAGCUCCUCCAACCAAACAUCAAGCCAGUGAGUUCACAUCUGGAGUGUAUGUGGGAGAUAGACAUCAAUAUGUCAGUCCUUCAGGCCAUAAGAGAGCAACCCUACAGUUGCAAAGCAUCAAGAAAGCUCUUAAUAAAUAAAUCACUUAUCAGGAGCUCAGAGGAGGCCAGAGACACUUGAAAAUUGUGUCUCAGUCUGCCACAAAGGAAGAAAGAAAGAAAGAAAGAAAGAAAGA